ensembl:lncRNA
CUCAGCGUUUAAACAGUCUUGUCUGUGCCUUUGUUUUUCUCAGUUUGUCCUGUUUACCUCCCUCAUGUCAGACCUCCUGCUCCCCUUUCUGAAUUCUUCCCUGUCUUCACCUGGCUCUGAUUGGAGAUGCCGUUGGAGGCGGUGCUGCUGCUGUGAUGACCAGAUGCGAGCAGGGGUCGAGAGGUACAGGAUGCCACGGUUGGUUUCCUGUGCAGCUGCAAAGGAGCUGUGCUGCUGUGUGCAAUCAUCGGAGCUGUCCAGAUACACAUGCAUAGUGAAGCAUGACAGGCCAGUCAUCAUCUCUUUACAACCGAGCCCAUCAUUUGUCAGCCUUCUGAAGAGCCAUUGUUGUUUCCCACUGCUGAAGAUGGAGAUAUUUCAUUAUUAAACAGACUCCGUG